rnacentral:rRNA from 1 species
CCUACGGGUGGCAGCAGUGAGGAAUAUUGGUCAAUGGGCGGAUGCCUGAACCAGCCAAGUAGCGUGCGGGAUGAAGGCCCUACGGGUCGUAAACCGCUUUUGCACGGGGAUAACACCCUCCACUUGUGGAUUUCUGCAUGUACCGUGCGAAUAAGGGCCGGCUAAUUCCGUGCCAGCAGCCGCGGUAAUACGGAAGGCCCGAGCGUUAUCCGGAUUCAUUGGGCUUAAAGGGAGCGUAGGCGGGCGUUCAAGUCAGCUGUAAAAUCGCGCGGCUCAACCGCGCCCCGCAGUUGAAACUGGAAGCCUUGAGUGAACAACAGGCAGGCGGAAUUCGUGGUGUAGCGGUGAAAUGCAUAGAUAUCACGAGGAAUCCCGAUGGCGAAGGCAGCCUGCCGGGGUGCGACUGACGCUGAGGCUCGAAGGUGCGGGUAUCAAACAGGAUUAGAUACCCCAGUAGUC